GGCUUGAUGGUCUAGAGGUAUGAUUCCUGCUUUGGGGCGACAGUUAGUCGUAUGACUGCAGGAGGCCCCGGGUUCGAUCCCCGGUCAAGCCC